UAGAGAAACUUUAGUUUCCUUGCAAGGCUGCAGAAGUUUGAUUUCAAACUCUUUGUAACUGAAAAUAGUGAUAGAAAUGUUUGUCUGCUGAGCGGAUGUUUCUAAACAUCUAGAUUUCACUGUGCAACAUGUCUAAUGCUUUAUGAUCUAGAGCUUUUUUUAUGUUAGCAGCACAAAGACAGGUUUAGUGAGCUGACAAUGUCAUAAUAAAUUAACACAAACUUUUUCACACAUUAUUGAUCUGACUAAAGGGAAAUAAUUUAGGUCAUUUUUUUGUCUCUGUAGUGUAAACUGCUAAAUAAUGUCAGCUUAAAUACAAUGCUGUAUAUAUCACACUUGUUCUUGAGUCCCAGAACUCUUCCAUUAAAUAUGCUUUUGUCUGAUUUUACUAUUGAAUUAAAAUGUGACAUUUUUCAAAACAAAU